rnacentral:rRNA from 1 species
CAAAAAUGGUGGUACCUGCUGCAGCGACGGCGCGUGAUGAAGAAUGUCUCGGUUGUGUCUUCUGUCAAUAUGGAAGAAACUGACGGGAAUUGACUGAGAAGCCCCGGCUAACUACGUGCCAGCAGCCGCGGUAAUACGUAGGGGGCAAGCGUUAUCCGGAUUUACUGGGUGUAAAGGGAGCGUAGACGGAUGGACAAGUCUGAUGUGAAAGGCUGGGGCUCAACCCCGGGACUGCAUUGGAAACUGCCCGUCUUGAGUGCCGGAGAGGUAAGCGGAAUUCCUAGUGUAGCGGUGAAAUGCGUAGAUAUUAGGAGGAACACCAGUGGCGAAGGCGGCUUACUGGACGGUAACUGACGUUGAGGCUCGAAAGCGUGGGGAGCAAACAGGAUUAGAUACCCUGGUAGUCCACGCGGUAAACGAUGAAUGCUAGGUGUCGGGGGGCAAAGCUCUUCGGUGCCGCCGCAAACGCAUUAAGCAUUCCACCUGGGGAGUACGUUCGCAAGAAUGAAACUCAAAGGAAUUGACG